GACGAACCGUGCAAACGUUGUUCGGAAUCACUGGGCUUAAAGGGCGCGUAGGCGGGUGGUCAAGUCAGGGGUGAAAUCUUUCGGCUCAACCGGAAAACAGCCUCUGAUACUGAUCGUCUCGAGGGAGGUAGGGGCGGGCGGAACUUCCGGUGGAGCGGUGAAAUGCGUAGAUAUCGGAAGGAACGCCGGUGGCGAAAGCGGCCCGCUGGACCUCUUCUGACGCUGAUGCGCGAAAGCCAGGGGAGCGAACGGG
rnacentral:rRNA from 1 species